rnacentral:rRNA from 1 species
CCCUGGCUCAGGACGAACGCAGGCGGCGUGCUUAACACAUGCAAGUCGAACGAUGAAAGAGGGAGCUUGCUUCUUCUGGAUUAGUGGCGAACGGGUGAGUAACACGUGAGCAAUCUGCCCUUGACUCUGGGAUAAGCGUUGGAAACGACGUCUAAUACCGGAUACGACCCUCGGAGGCAUCUCCUGGGGGUGGAAAGAAUUUUGGUCAAGGAUGAGCUCGCGGCCUAUCAGCUAGUUGGUGAGGUAAUGGCUCACCAAGGCGACGACGGGUAGCCGGCCUGAGAGGGUGACCGGCCACACUGGGACUGAGACACGGCCCAGACUCCUACGGGAGGCAGCAGUGGGGAAUAUUGCACAAUGGGCGAAAGCCUGAUGCAGCAACGCCGCGUGAGGGAUGACGGCCUUCGGGUUGUAAACCUCUUUUAGUAGGGAAGAAGCGAAAGUGACGGUACCUGCAGAAAAAGCACCGGCUAACUA